GCCCUUUUUGACUCUAAUUUCAGGGCCAAGGCAUAUUUCUUUCACUGGCUCUGAUUCCAGGGUCAGAGUGUGUUUCUUUGGCUCUGGUUGCAGGGUCAGAGUGUGUUUCUUUGGCUGGCUCUUUUUCCCCUACAUGAAUGCCUCUGGGCUAUUCUAUUCCUCCUGUACUAGGUGGGAACUCAGGACCCAUUUCCAGAAGAUAACUCCAUUCCUCCACCUGUGUCUGGGAAGGACACUAGGCAGCCAGGAGGCCGUGGGGCUUUUCUGGGCCCCUGGCACAGACACAGUGAGGUUUUGGAACGAAGGAGCCCUGAACUGUCUGGUAGGAAGAAGUUCUGGCAGGCGUAGCCACAAACAGGUCACGGAGGCAACCCAUCGUCCCUCGGAGGACUCACAGCACGCCCAGAAGGGCUGAGGGAAGGUACCAGGGGAGUGGUUGGGAACAGUUCGGCGUGAUGAGUCUAUUCAGUCACCGGGCAGGGCCGCUUGGGGCCCAGGACCUCCUCCUCAAACGCAACAGGGCUCACCUGUGAAAGCCAGGUGUCUAACUGGCAGGCCAAGAAGGAGCCUGUUUAGGUCAAUCGAGCUCGCUAGGGACUAAGCACAACCUCUGGACCCUCAGCAUUGGUAUGCAAAAAUCCUGGGCAAAGACAAAGAGCUCCCGCUCCUAACUCUGGGGAGGGUCCGGCCUCAAUUCACCCAGUCAGACGGCCUCGCUACUCCUCUAGGUUACCAGGGUGUAGACCCCGGAGGUCCCAAGCAGACAAAUCAGCAGUGAUGGAGUUGAGAAAGGGAACCCAGUGAGGGCUCAGCGGGGGCCUCUGCCCUUUUCUGCUCCAGAUCUCCAGGAACAUUCCGGGAGGAUUGGGGGAAGGGAGGAAUGGAGCACGCUGCAGGGGGCCUCGCAGGCUCCAACCACUCCGUAUCCGGGUACCGCGCGCCUAGACCCCAGACGCUGCUGCCAAGGCCGCUAGCUCUCUCCCAGCGCAUCCGCGCCGCGGCCCGGUCCUCGCGUGACGCGUGACCGCCUGGGGCCGGGCCCCGUGGACUCACCUCCGGGCGAAGCGACCCCGAAGAGCUCCGGAAACCUCAGGUCCUGGAGAUCGCCGGAGUCUGGAGAUUCCCAGGCAGGCGGAGCCGGGCUCCGAUGGCGGGGGCGGGCGGCGGGCGGGGCGGUCCACGGGCCGUGGGCGGGGCUCUGGUGGGUGGGGAGGACAACUCGGACUACCCAGCUCGAGGUGCUGCGGCUGCACCCCCUGGUGUAGCAGCACAGCCGCUCAUCUGAGGUUCGGAUCCGGUUCCGACCCAUUCGCCCACGGCUGCGGCCCCCAGGUCCCCGGUGGGGACCGCCCUCGGUGCCCCACGCCACACAGUGUGGCAUCUGAGCGCUGGCGUGGCCGGCCGCUUUCCACCUGGCCUGCGGUUCAGCCUGUCGGCCUUCUCUUGCAGGACAGACCCGGGGGGAGGGUGGAAGGUCCAGGUUUUCGCGGCAAUUACUGAGACGAGGACCUGUGCGCAGGCUCUGUUUGCUUCCGGAAGGAGUGGGAAGACAGGCUGCAUCCCCAAGCCCUAGGCGCUCUUGGGAAUCUCUGCUGCCGCGGGGCCGACGAAGUGCUGGACCAAGAAUGCCGCAUGUCCUCCGGCCCUGCUGGGUGUCAAGUUCCUCCGGGCUGAGCCUGUCUGGGCCAUCCCUCUCUUGGGGUGAGGCAAGAGGACAGACAGGGUUCGGAGAAGGAGACCAUUGCCACGGGUGUGGACAGAUAUGGUUCUCAGUUUCCCUUCCUCUGUGUGCAGGGCCGCCUUUUACACUCCACUAGGUGGACAUGGAACCGAGGCAGAACCCAACCAGCCUGUCUUGGCUAUCAUCUAAAGUGCUGAUGCUCCGAUUUUUAGAAAGAAACCCCAACCCUUCUGUUUUUAACUGAACAUCUUCCAGUAUUCUGUUCCUAGUGCUCAGGAAGUAUUUUCGCACCCAACAAAAAUAUUAACGACCAUCUGCUGAGUGUGGGCCCUGUAGCAGGACCCUGGAGCCCAUGUCCUGCUUAUGGAUGAUACUCCUGGGGGAGACCAGGGCACCAAGAGUGGGCUUCGGCCACGGGCCCCUUUGCCUGGCGGGGCUGUUUGUCUCCAGCCCUUCCCUCCUCCCCUUCCUCCUGCAGAGCCCUCCCCAGGGGAUUGUGGGCUGCUGAGCCCCUGCCACCUGCUUCUCUGAGAGUCACACUUCCGUUUUGGGUCGCACAUGUGGAAAUAAAAGAUUUUGCGCCUGA